CAAUAAUCAGUUUUAAAAUAUUUAUCUUUAUUUAAUCUUUAACUUUGGGAAAAAAAGCUUUAUUGUGUGUUCUAGGUUUAUGCUUUGGUUGGCAGCAAAGCAGAGCCAUGUCUUAGCUCCCUUAAGAUCUGAAAUAGAAAAAGUAACUCAGUUGGGCUUCGGCUUCCUUCUCCAGUGAUGAAAUGUGUGGCAAGAGAGGUAUCCUUGAGGAACACACAGACUUAUAUGGGAAGAAAAGGAAGAAUUCCACAGCAGGUCACAGAUGAGAAACUCCUUCUGCCUGUUACAGACCUAGAUUUGAGCACAGAAGAUGUGAGCAGUUUCUGCAGAAGUAGACUGGAGCAAACACUGGAUCAUCCUCAUUCUAUGAGGGUGAAGAGCAAGUGGUGAUGAAUGCUCAAAAUCAGGAAAAGUGGAAAUUGCAGUGUGUUGAUUUGCAGUGAUUGAGAAUGUUCCAGUUUUUAACAGCCACCUUUGACUGAAAUGGUAAAUAAACCUGCAGCCUCUGUUUA
rnacentral:lncRNA from 1 species